GAGCUGGGGGUGGCCGCAGAGACCAGCGAGAAGCGACUGUUUACUAAAAACACAGGUCCGUGCGAAGCCGUAAGGCGAUGUAUACGGACUGACGCCUGCCCGGUGCUGGAACGUUAAGGGGACCGGUUAGCUCUGAUUCGUCAGGGCGAAGCUGAGAACUUAAGCGCCAGUAAACGGCGGUGGUAACUAUAACCAUCCUAAGGUAGCGAAAUUCCUUGUCGGGUAAGUUCCGACCUGCACGAAUGGCGUAACGACUUCUCGACUGUCUCAACCAUAGGCCCGGUGAAAUUGCACUACGAGUAAAGAUGCUCGUUUCGCGCAGCAGGACGGAAAGACCCCGGGACCUUUACUACAGUUUGAUAUUGGUGUUCGGUUCGGCUUGUGUAGGAUAGCUGGGAGACUUUGAAGCUCACACGCCAGUGUGGGUGGAGUCGUCGUUGAAAUACCAGUCUGGUCGUGCUGGAUGUCUAACCUGGGUCCGUGAUCCGGAUCAGGGACAGUGUCUGAUGGGUAGUUUAACUGGGGCGGUUGCCUCCUAAAGAGUAACGGAGGCGCCCAAAGGUUCCCUCAGCCUGGUUGGCAAUCAGGUGUUGAGUGUAAGUGCACAAGGGAGCUUGACUGUGAGACCGACGGGUCGAGCAGGGACGAAAGUCGGGACUAGUGAUCCGGCGGUGGCUUGUGGAAGCGCCGUCGCUCAACGGAUAAAAGGUACCCCGGGGAUAACAGGCUGAUCUUCCCCAAGAGUCCAUAUCGACGGGAUGGUUUGGCACCUCGAUGUCGGCUCGUCGCAUCCUGGGGCUGGAGUCGGUCCCAAGGGUUGGGCUGUUCGCCCAUUAAAGCGGUACGCGAGCUGGGUUUAGAACGUCGUGAGACAGUUCGGUCCCUAUCCGCUGUGCGCGUAGGAAUAUUGAGAAGGGCUGUCCCUAGUACGAGAGGACCGGGACGGACGAACCUCUGGUGUGCCAGUUGUUCUGCCAAGGGCAUGGCUGGUUGGCUACGUUCGGGAGGGAUAACCGCUGAAAGCAUCUAAGCGGGAAGCCUGCUUCGAGAUGAGUAUUCCCACCUCCUUGAGAGGGUAAGGCUCCCAGUAGACGACUGGGUUGAUAGGCCGGAUAUGGAAGCACGGUAACGUGUGGAGUUGACCGGUACUAAUAGGCCGAGGGCUUGUCCUCAGUUG
rnacentral:rRNA from 1 species